rnacentral:rRNA from 1 species
UACGAAGGGGGCUAGCGUUGUUCGGAAUUACUGGGCGUAAAGCGCACGUAGGCGGACAUUUAAGUCAGUGGUGAAAUCCCAGAGCUCAACUCUGGAACUGCCUUUGAUACUGGGUGUCUGGAGUAUGGAAGAGGUGAGUGGAAUUCCGAGUGUAGAGGUGAAAUUCGUAGAUAUCUGGAGGAACACCGGUGGCGAAGGCGGCAUCCUGGACCAACACUGACGCUGAGUGAGCGAAAGCCAGGGGAGCAAACGGG